GGUAUUUUGACCGUGCAAAGGUAGCAUAAUCCUUAGUUUUUUAAUUGAAAGCUGGAAUGAAAGGUUGGAUGAGAAAUAAGCUGUCUCUAUUUAAUUUUAUUAGAAUUUUAUUUUUAAGUAAAAAAGCUUAAAUUUUAAUAGAAGACGAGAAGACCCUAUAGAGUUUUAUUUAUUCUUUAAAUAAAAUUAAUGGUAUUAAUUAUUUUUAUUUGAUAGAUAAAUUUGGUUGGGGUGAUUGAAAAAUUUAGUAAACUUUUUUUAUAUGUAUACAUUGAUAUAUGAUUAAUUGAUCCUUAAUUUAAGAUUAAAAGAUAAAAUUACCUUAGGGAUAACAGCGUAAUUUUUUUUGAGAGUUCUAAUCGAAAGAAAAGAUUGCGACCUCGAUGUUGGAUUAAAAUAAAAUUUUGGUGUAGAAGCUAAGA
rnacentral:rRNA from 1 species